rnacentral:lncRNA from 1 species
UAUCGGAGGUUAAAUAUGAAUUAAUAGAUUUUAGUUCUGUAAGGCAUCAUAAAAAUCCAUUGGAUAAUCUUCCAUUGCCUUCUUUUCAGGAAGGAAGAAAUGGGUUUCCAUGGAGCUGUGGAUGGUGUUCAUCUCAGAUGCUACAUUGUGGGCUAAUAUCGCCACCGUUACCUACAACCUGCUCCUCUUCCUCUCUGAAGUCGUCUACUUCAGUUGCUGGAUUAGCUUCAACUGAUCCCAGCUUGAGACAGCAAUGCCCAUGACUAAUAUUAAGAGUUAAUAGUAAAAGGUGAAAGAUUUAUACAAUCUGAAGAGAAGCAAAAGCAGACACCCACAGCUAAACACUGAGCCGAACUCCUGGAAUCCAGUUGCAGAGAGGGAGGAGUGAUGAGCAAAGGGGUUCAGACCAGGCUGCAGAAACCCACAGAAAACAGCGGACCUGAACAAGGGGGAGCUGAUGGACCCCAGACUGGUA